rnacentral:rRNA from 1 species
CAAUAGCGUAUAUUAAAGUUGUUGCGGUUAAAAAGCUCGUAGUUGGAUUUCUGCCGAGGACGACCGGUCCGCCCUCUGGGUGAGUAUCUGGCUCGGCCUGGGCAUCUUCUUGGAGAACGUAGCUGCACUUGACUGUGUGGUGCGGUAUCCAGGACUUUUACUUUGAGGAAAUUAGAGUGUUUCAAGCAGGCUUACGCCUUGAAUACAUUAGCAUGGAAUAAUAAGAUAGGACCUCGGUUCUAUUUUGUUGGUUUCUAGAGCUGAGGUAAUGAUUAAUAGGGAUAGUUGGGGGCAUUCGUAUUUAACUGUCAGAGGUGAAAUUCUUGGAUUUACGCAAGACAAACAGCUGCGAAAGCGUCUGCCAAGGAUGUUUUCAUUA